UACGUAGGUGGCAAGCGUUGUCCGGAUUUAUUGGGUUUAAAGGGUGCGUAGGCGGCUUUGUAAGUCAGUGGUGAAAUAUGGCAGCUCAACUGUCAAGGUGCCAUUGAUACUGCAGAGCUUGAGUACAGAUGAGGUAGGCGGAAUUGACGGUGUAGCGGUGAAAUGCUUAGAUAUGACGCAGAACACCAAUUGCGAAGGCAGCUUGCUACACUGUUAUUGACACUGAGGCACGAAAGCGUGGGGAUCAAACAGG
rnacentral:rRNA from 1 species